rnacentral:rRNA from 2 species
AAAGCCUGAUCCAGCGACGCCGCGUGGGGGAUGACGGCCUUCGGGUUGUAAACCUCUUUUGGUCGGGACGAAGCGCAGGUGACGGUACCUAUAGAAGAAGGACCGGCCCACUACAUGCCACCCGCCGCGGUAAUACGUACGGUCCGAGCGUUGUCCGGAAGUACUGGGCGUAAGGAGCUCGUAGGUGGUUUGUCACGUUGGUCGUGAAAACCCACAACUCAGUUGUGGGCGUGCGGGCUAUACAUGCAGACUACAGUACUGCAGGGGAGACUGGAAUUCGUGGUGUAGCGGUGGAAUGCGCAGAUAUCAAGAGGAACACCGGUGGGGAAGGCGGUUCUCUGGUCAUGAACUGACGCUGAGGAACCAAGGCGUGCGGAGCGAACAGGAUUAGAUGCCCUGGUACUCCACGCCCUAAACGGGGGGUACUAGGUGUGGGUUUCCUUCCUUGGGAUCCGUGCCGUAUUUAACGCAUUAAGUACCCCACCAGGGGAGUACGGCCGCAAGGCUAAAACUCAGACAAAUUGACGGGGGCCCGCAGAAGCGGCGGAGCUUGUGGAUUACUUCGAUGCAACGCGUACAACCUUACGUGGGUUUGACAUGCACACGACGUGACUAGAUCUACGUAUUCCCUGUG